rnacentral:rRNA from 1 species
GUAGGUGAAACAUCCACGGAACUUGUUUUUCUUGCUUUAUGUUGACAGGUUAUACUAACAGUAUUAUAGUGAACCUGCGGAA